GCCCCAAUGGCCAAGUGGUUAAGGCGUCAGCCUUCUAUUUGCCGAAUAGCUGAAAAUCGCGAGUUCGACCCUCGCUUGGGGUA